rnacentral:piRNA from 1 species
UUCAGAAAACCUGCAUGGCACAUCCUGGG